GAUUUGACUGAGCCCUUUUCUAAUUGAAGAGAAAAUUUGAAUUCCUAGGGAGGAGAUUAUGGGUAAUCUGCUACUUUAAAAAGGCAUGAGCGAGCACUUUUUUGGUUUAAUUUAAUAGGGGUUGCAUGGUGAGCUCUUAAGAGAAAGGAAAAAAUGCUGAUGGUAUUGAGGUUAGAAAAAUGGAUGUUUUUAUCAUAUCAGAGAGUAUAGAUAGAGUCCUUUGUCAGGGUCUUCUUUGAGCUGGGCACUCUAGAUGUUAGAAAUCCAGACCAGAACAGAUUUUGGCCAAAGUAGGGGGAAUAGCCUAACCUCUAGCAAAGGUUGAACAAAUGCUGCUCAGGUCCUAAGCAUUAGAUCUGCAAAUGUUUUCUCUGUAGCUACAUAAUUCCCUUAUAGAAAAGAAAAGCUGUGGUUAUGUACACACUAUAAUAGCCUGAAAGGAGGAACUUUUUUGUCAGUGUGUGUCCAGUCCUGUUAGUGGCACAAAUGUAGCUGUGAAUACCUGAAACCUCAUUUUUGCA